rnacentral:pre_miRNA from 1 species
UCUUGUGGAUGAGCAAAGAAAGUAGUUUCUUGAGAUGGGGUCUACUUCUGGUGAAGAUGCUGUGAA